AUUGAACGCUGGCGGCAGGCCUAACACAUGCAAGUCGAACGAGUGGCGGACGGGUGAGUAAUGUCUGGGAAACUGCCCGAUGGAGGGGGAUAACUACUGGAAACGGUAGCUAAUACCACAUACCAUCGGAUGUGCCCAGAUGGGAUUGGCUAGUAGGUGGGGUAACGUCUCACCUAGGCGAAGAUCCCUAGCUGGUCUGAGAGGAUGACCUGCCACACUUGAAGUGAGACACGGUCGCGACUCCUACGGGAGGCAGCAGUUGGGAAUAUUGCACAAUGAGCGCAAGCCUGAUGCAGCCAUGCCGCGUGUAUGAAGAAGGCCUUCGGGUUGUAAAGUACUUUCAGCGAGGAGGCGUUACUCGCAGAAGAAGCACCGGCUAACUCCGUGCCAGCAGCCGCGGUAAUAC
rnacentral:rRNA from 1 species